rnacentral:rRNA from 1 species
AUUGAACGCUGGCGGCAGGCCUAACACAUGCAAGUCGAGCGGAUGAAGAGAGCUUGCUCUCUGAUUCAGCGGCGGACGGGUGAGUAAUGCCUAGGAAUCUGCCUGGUAGUGGGGGACAACGUUUCGAAAGGAACGCUAAUACCGCAUACGUCCUACGGGAGAAAGUGGGGGAUCUUCGGACCUCACGCUAUCAGAUGAGCCUAGGUACGAUUAGCUAGUUGGUGAGGUAAAGGCUCACCAAGGCGACGAUCGUUAACUGGUCUGAGAGGAUGAUCAGUCACGCUGGAACUGAGACACGGGCCAGACUCCUACGGGAGGCAGCAGUGGGGAAUAUUGGACAAUGGGCGAAAGCCUGAUCCAGCCAUGCCGCGUGUGUGAAGAAGGUCUUCGGAUUGUAAAGCACUUUAAGUUGGGAGGAAGGGCAGUAAGUUAAUACCUUGCUGUUUUGACGUUACCGACAGAAUAAGCACCGGCUAACUUCGUGCCAGCCGCCGCGGUAACAC